UACGGGGGGGGGGUAAGCGUUGUUCGGAAUUACUGGGCGUAAAGGGCUCGUAGGCGGCCAACUAAGUCGGACGUGAAAUCCCUCAGCUUAACUGGGGAACUGCGUCCGAUACUGGAUGGCUUGGAUUUGGGAGAGGGAUGCGGAAUUCCAGGUGUAGCGGUGAAAUGCGUAGAUAUCUGGAGGAACACCGGUGGCGAAGGCGGCAUCCUGGACCAAUAUUGACGCUGAGGAGCGAAAGCCAGGGGAGCAAACGGG
rnacentral:rRNA from 1 species